CCACUGACAGCAGAGGAGCUGGAAGAGUUUCCACCACACAUUUGCCUUUCUUUAUCUCUGGUCUUGCAGCCUGUUCUUGCUUUCAGUUCCUCCCUUCCCCUUUCCCACAGUUCAGUUCCCCCUUUUCCUUGCAUCAAAGAAAUGGGAUCCGAAGCCUGGAAUCACAACACUCCCUUCUCCACAACUCAUUCCACUUCAGCUUGCUCAAGGCUGAGAGAAAGCAAACAAUCCAGAAACCUCGGAGACAGGCUGUGAACAAAAGGAUGAACAAAACUCCCUCUUGGGCUACCAGAAAGCAGUCAGUUCUCAUUUGGGCCUUCGAACGCAACAGAAUGGCAAGAACAGGAGGUG